rnacentral:rRNA from 1 species
UGGGGAAUAUUGCACAAUGGGCGAAAGCCUGAUGCAGCAACGCCGCGUGAGUGAUGAAGGUCUUCGGAUUGUAAAGCUCUGUCUUUUGGGACGAUAAUGACGGUACCAAAGGAGGAAGCCACGGCUAACUACGUGCCAGCAGCCGUGGUAAUACGUAGGUGGCGAGCGUUGUCCGGAUUUACUGGGCGUAAAGGGUGCGUAGGCGGAUGUUUAAGUGAGAUGUGAAAUACCCGGGCUUAACUUGGGUGCUGCAUUUCAAACUGGAUAUCUAGAGUGCAGGAGAGGAGAAUGGAAUUCCUAGUGUAGCGGUGAAAUGCGUAGAGAUUAGGAAGAACACCAGUGGCGAAGGCGAUUCUCUGGACUGUAACUGACGCUGAGGCACGAAAAGCGUGGGUAGCAAACAGGAUUAGAUACCCUGGUAGUCCACGCCGUAAAACGAUGAGUACUAGGUGUAGGAGGUAUCGACCCCUUCUGUGCCGCAGUAAACACA